ensembl:lncRNA
UUUCGACACACGCGCUUGUGAAACGUGCGCCCAAAGAAUUGCCUGCUGCUCCCGUCAAGCAGUCUGAUGCUGACAGGCAGCUGUGAGACUGACAUGCUCAUUGAGGCAAGCUUUAACACUUACAGAUGGACUGCUUGGCCUAACGUGCCUUUUCCUUCUGAGACCUGGAUGACAUUUGCCUCUGGAACAUUCUUUCAGAGCAACAGGGGAGGUGACACAAUGAGGCGGGGAGGAUAAAAGAAUCGGCGCACGGUCAAGUGACACUUUGAGGA